rnacentral:rRNA from 1 species
AUGGCAACGACGGCGCGCUUGAUCCUGCUCGCCGUCGCCGUGUCGUUGAUGCUGCAGGUCGCCACCGUGUCGGCGGCGCCAUCGUCGGGAUCCCGCGGCGGCGUUACGCUGCGCGUGGAUGGUAGACAGGUGGUGGUGGACAACGGCCUGGUGCAGGUGACGCUGUCGAGGCCCGGGGGCCACAUCACCGGCGUCCGCUACGGCGGGGAUCGGACGAACCUCCUGCACUCCACCAGAAGCAGAAACACUGGCGGGUACUGGGAUAUGGUGUGGAACAUCCCCGGCUCCGACCAACGAGGCCUGCUCAACACGCUGGAUGGUUCGGAGUUCAGGGUGGUAACGCAGAGCGACGACCAGGUGGAGCUGUCGUUCCGGAGCACGUACAGCCCGGGACGUCGGAGCGGCGUCCGGCUCAACUUCGACAAGAGGCUGGUGAUGCUCAAGGGCAGCUCCGGGUUCUACAGCUACGCCAUCCUGGAGCACGGCGCCGACACGCCGGCCAUCGACAUCAGCCUGGCGCGGCUCGCCUUCAAGCUCAACACGGAGAGAUUCAACUACAUGGCCGUCUCGGACGACGUACAGCGGUACAUGCCGCGGGCGGCCGACCGGGAGUCGCCCCGUAGCUCCCCGCUGGCGUACAAGGAGGCGGUGCUGCUGGUCGACCCGUCGGAGCCGCAGUUCAAGGGGGAGGUGGACGACAAGUACCAGUACACGCUGGACACCAAGGACAACAAGGUGCACGGGUGGGUCAGCACUAGCAGCGGCCAGCCGAGCCACGUCGGGUUCUGGGUCGUCACCCCCAGCAGCGAGUUCAAGAGCGGCGGGCCGCUCAAGCGCGACCUCACCUCGCACGUCGGACCGACCUGCAUGAGCGUGUUCCAUGGGACGCACUACGUCGGGGACGACAUCGUGGCGCGCAUCGGGGACGGCGAGCAGUGGAAGAAGGUCAUGGGCCCCGUGUUCGUCUACCUCAACUCAAACUCGGAGAAGGUAGACCCGCGGGCGCUCUGGGAGGACGCCAAGGCGACGGCCCAGGCUGAGGCGAAGAAGUGGCCCUACAGCUUCCCGGAGUCGCCGGACUUCCACAAGGCCGGCGAGAGAGGCUCCGUCACCGGCCGAUUGCUCGUAAGGGACAAGUACGUGAGCAGGGAUAACAUGCCUGCUCGGGCAGCUUACGUAGGCCUGGCCGCGCCCGGGCAGCCUGGCUCAUGGGCGACGCAGAGCAAGGGCUACCAGUUCUGGACGACGGCGUCGAACACUUCCGGCGAGUUCACCAUUGACAACGUCCGGGCGGGGGAGUACAACCUCUACGCGUGGGUUCCUGGGGUUCUCGGCGAUUACUUGAACACCACCCGCGUCACCGUAACACCCGGCGGUGCAAUCAACCUCGGCGAUCUUUUGUACGAGGCUCCGAGAUCAGGGCCGACACUGUGGGAGAUCGGCGUUCCUGACCGGAGCGCGGCGGAGAUGUUUGUCCCUGACCCCGAGGCGAAGUACCUCAACAAGCUCUUCCAGAACAAAGACAGGUACAGGCAGUACGGGCUGUGGGAAAGGUACGCCCAACUGUACCCGACGGACGAUCUCGUCUACACCGUCGGCGAAAGCCACCACUCCAAGGACUGGUACUUCGCACAUGUCACAAGAAAGGUCGGCGACGACAUCGUGCCGACGACGCGGCAGGUCCGGUUCCACCUGGGCCGCGUCGUGCCUGGCGGCACCUACACCUUGCGCGUGGCCCUCGCGGCCGCUCACGCGGCGAGGCUGCAGGUCCAGGUGAACGGGGCGACGAGGCGUGUGGGGGUCUUCGGGACGCCGGCGUUCGGCGACGGCAAUGCGAUCGCGAGGCACGGCGACCACGGCACGCAGUGGAGCUUCGAGUUCCCUAUCAGCGGGAGACUGCUCCAGGAAGGCGACAACACCAUCCACCUCACGCAGACGAGGGCCAACAGCAUAUUCCUAGGGGUCAUGUACGACUACAUACGGUUCGAAGGACCUCCUGGUUCAUAG